AUGGGCUUGCAGCAGGUUGCUGAAUUUGUUCUCCUUCAUGGUCCUUCAUGGCUAACAAAGCUAAAGAAGAGCCUAACACUGCACCUUCUUUUGAUCGGUGGCUACAUUUUGCAGACAAGUGGAUCAUUAUAUGGUGCCUUAAUUGGUUCUGUUUUGGCCUUCAAUGUUGCUGACUUCCUAGGUAGAAGAAGGAAGCUGGUUUCAGCGGCAUUGUUAUAUCUUGUCGGAGCACUCGUAAUAGCACUUGCUCCAAAUCUUCCUAUAUUGGUGAUAGGAAGAUUUGUUUAUGGUAUAGGAAUUGGAUUGGCAAUGCAUGCUGCUCCAAUGUACAUUGCUGAGACGGCCCCGUCAUCAAUACGUGGACUACUGAUUUCUCUGAAAGAGUUCUUUAUAGUGCUUGGGAUGGUGGCAGGUUAUGGAAUCGUUAGCCUUCUGGUAGACACGGUAGCUGGGUGGCGCUAUAUGUAUGGAGUUAGUAGUCCUUUGGUAGUACUAAUGGGAAUUGGAAUGUGUUGGCUCCCAACUUCUCCUAGAUGGCUACUUUUAUGUGCUAUACAGGGAAAAGGGGAUGGAGAGAAUUUGAAAAGCACCGCAAUUCAUUGUCUGUGCCGUCUUCGAGGUCAAGCUGUUGAUGACUCAGCUCAUCGGCAAGUGGAUGAAAUUCUGGCUGAGCUUGCUUAUAUGGGUAAAGAAAAAGAGGUUAAUUUUGGAGAAAUGUUCAGAGGAAAAUGCUUGAAAGCCCUUACCAUUGGUGCAGGGUUGGUCUUGUUUCAACAGAUCACAUGGUAACCAAGUGUGCUUUACUUUGCUGGAUCAAUCCUUCAGAGUGCAGGAUUCUCCGCUGCAUCUGAUGCAACCCGAGUCUCUAUUCUCCUUGGUUUUUUCAAGUUGAUUAUGACCGGAACUGCUGUCGCCGUUGUCGAUAAAGUUGGAAGAAGACCUUUACUAGUGGGAGGAGUUUCAGGGAUGGUACAAGCACAACUAGUUUGAGGCUAACGAUCCUUAUUAAAAAUGUGUUCAUGGAAUGAAACUGCACCUGCAAUGCAAGACCUUGUUAAUCUGACAUGGGUGCAAAGGCAUAAGACUUGUAUCAUAUCCAGUCACCAAUGGAGGUGAUUAAAUGAGCAGCUCCUGCCACCUGCAAAAAGAGCUGGCUCAAAACUGAAGAGCCGAAUUGUAGCGGAGCAAUCCAUAUAUAAAUGGUCUCAUAUAAUUGAGCAAUUGGGAACUUUGCUUUAUUCUCUCUGCUGUAUUAUUGUAUUGCAUCUGUGCUAGGCUCUAUUUGUUUUCUUUUGAUCAUUAACUAUGUGCUAUUCAUUGAUGUAACAUAGAUUUGUAGUAUUUGUGUUGUUUAAAUUUGUAUUAUGCUUUAUUACUUUUCAAGAGAACUUUGUGUA